rnacentral:rRNA from 1 species
UAUUUCACAAUGGGGGAAACCCUGAUGCAGCCACGCCGCGUGAGCGAAGAAGUAUUUCGGUAUGUAAAGCUCUAUCAGCAGGGAAGAAAAAAAUGAGGGUACCUGAGUAAGAAGCACCGGCUAAAUACGUGCUAGCAGCCGCGGUAAUACGUAUGGUGCAAGCGUUAUCCGGAGUUACUGGGUGUAAAGGGAGCGUAGGCGGCGCGGUAAGUCUGAUGUGAAAACCCGAGGCUCAACCACGGGAGUGCAUUGGAAACUGGCGGGCUGGAGUGCCGGAGAGGUAAGCGGAAUUCCUAGUGUAGCGGUGAAAUGCGUAGAUAUUAGGAGGAACACCAGUGGCGAAGGCGGCUUACUGGACGGCAACUGACGCUGAGGCUCGAAAGCGUGGGGAGCA